AUUGAACGCUGGCGGCAUGCCUUACACAUGCAAGUCGAACGGUAACGCGGGGCAACCUGGCGACGAGUGGCGAACGGGUGAGUAAUGCAUCGGAACGUGCCCAGUAGUGGGGGAUAGCCCGGCGAAAGCCGGAUUAAUACCGCAUACGACCUACGGGUGAAAGCGGGGGACCGCAAGGCCUCGCGCUAUUGGAGCGGCCGAUGUCAGAUUAGGUUGUUGGUGAGGUAAAGGCUCACCAAGCCGACGAUCUGUAGCUGGUCUGAGAGGACGACCAGCCAGACUGGGACUGAGACACGGCCCAGACUCCUAAGGGAGGCAGCAGUGGGGAAUUUUGGACAAUGGGCGCAAGCCUGAUCCAGCCAUGCCGCGUGCGGGAAGAAGGCCUUCGGGUUGUAAACCGCUUUUGUCGGGGAAGAAAUCUUCUGGGCUAAUACCCCGGGAGGAUGACGGUACCCGAAGAAUAAGCACCAGCUAACUACGUGCCAGCCGCCGCAGUAAUAC
rnacentral:rRNA from 1 species